rnacentral:rRNA from 1 species
GUACGAAGGGAGGCUAGCGUUGUUCGGAAUUACUGGGCGUAAAGGGCGCGUAGGCGGCCCGCUAAGUCGAACGUGAAAUCCCCCGAGCUCAACUCGGGAACUGCGUCCGAUACUGGCGGGCUUGAAUCCGGGAGAGGGAUGCGGAAUUCCAGGUGUAGCGGUGAAAUGCGUAGAUAUCUGGAGGAACAUCGGUGGCGAAGGCGGCAUCCUGGACCGGUAUUGACGCUGAGGCGCGAAGGCUAGGGGGAGCAAACAGG